UAACGGAAAAAACCAAACCAAAACAAAAAGAAAACAACCCAAAAAAGAGAUUUUUUUGGUUUUUUUUUCUUUUGGUCUGGCGGCUUUUUUUGGGCCUUUUGUUUUUGUUGUCUAUUUUAUU
rnacentral:ribozyme from 12 species